CAGUCGCCACGGGAAUACGGAGGAUGCGAGCGUUAUUCGGAAUCAUUGGGUUUAAAGGGUCUGUAGGCGGGCUAUUAGGUCAGGGGUGAAAGGUUUCAGCUUAACUGAGAAAUUGCCUUUGAUACUGGUAGUCUUGAAUAUCAGUGAAGUUCUUGGAAUGUGUAGUGUAGCGGUGAAAUGCUUAGAUAUUACACAGAACACCGAUUGCGAAGGCAGGGGACUAACAGACAAUUGACGCUGAGAGACGAAAGCGUGGGGAGCGAACAGGAUUAGAUACCCCCGUAGUCCCUGUCUCUUAUAC
rnacentral:rRNA from 1 species